GCCGGGCGUGGUGGCACACACCUGUAAUCCCAGUGACUGUGGAGGCUGAGGCUGGAGGAUCACAAGUUCAAGGCCAGUCUCAGCAACUUAGUAAGAACCUGUUUCAA
rnacentral:sRNA from 1 species